CCCAGUCAUGCUUCCCGUUAUGCCUGCAGAACUGCAUUUAUGAAGUAGGGACCUGGAAUUGAAUAGACUCCUAAAGGAGAGACAGAAGUUUGAAAGAGCAAGAUGAGUGGAUGUGAAUCCAGACAUAAAAAGAGAACAGCAAAUAUUUGAAAGAGUUUAAGACAUACUCCUCAAGGGGUUUCUCCUUUUGCUUCUUUCUCAUUUCUCUUGCUGCCACCAUGUAAGAGGUGCCUUUUGCCUCCUGCCAUGAUUCUGAGGCCAUGUGGAACUGUACCACAGAUAGAAGCCUCGAGAAGCUUACUUUGGUGAGAAAUUUUGCCUUUCUCUGCAGGCUUCUACCAGUUCGAUUCCAUCUGUGGGUCUUAGUUUUCAGUUACCUGCAGUCAAAUGUGGUCCAAUAUACAGACUGGAAUAAGAGACACUGGAGACUCCAAAAGAAUAUUUUCUGGUAGACUGAUACAUUUCUCCUAAAAAAUUUGGAAAAAUUUUGUGAUGAAGAAGCUACCUGGGCCUGAAGAUAUCUUUUCUGAAGAUGG
rnacentral:lncRNA from 1 species